rnacentral:rRNA from 1 species
AUGGAACUUAGAUCCUCUGGAAGCAUUGUUGAGGUCGAUACUAAACUAACGGAUGGUAAAGUUUACUUUCACAUAUUCUUUAUGGCAAUUAAGCCUUGUUUAGAUGGAUUCCAUGCUGGAUGUAGGCCUUAUCUUAGCAUAGACUCGACUGCAUUGAAUGGAAAGUGGAAUGGUCAUUUAGCUGCAUGCACUGCUUUAGAUGGACAUAAUUGGAUGUUUCCUCUUGCAUUUGGUUUUAUUGAGGUUGAAGAUGAAGAUAAUUGGAAAUGGUUCAUGACACAGUUGCAUAGAGCAUUAGGACCAAUUUCAAAGCUUGCUAUAUGUACUGAUGCAUGUAAAGGCGCCAAGAAAAUGCAGUUAAGAAAGUUUUUCCUCAAGCAAAACAAAGGGAAUGUUUUAGGCAUUUAA